UACAGAGGGUGCGAGCGUUGUCCGGAAUCACUGGGCGUAAAGGGCGCGUAGGUGGCGUCGCAAGUCGAUGGUGAAAGCUCGGCGCUCAACGCCGAGUCGGCCCUUAAUACUGCGAGGCUCGAGCACUGUAGAGGCUAAUGGAAUUCCGGGUGUAGCGGUGGAAUGCGUAGAGAUCCGGAAGAACACCGGUGGCGAAGGCGGGUCUCUGGGCAGUAACUGACGCUGAGGAGCGAAAGCAUGGGGAGCGAACAGG
rnacentral:rRNA from 1 species